AGAAUCAACGCUGGCGGCGUGCCUAACACAUGCAAGUCGCACGAGAAAGGGGAGCAAUCCCUGAGUAAAGUGGCGCACGGGUGAGUAACACGUGAAUAAUCUACCUCCGAGUGGGGAAUAACUGAGAGAAAUCUUAGCUAAUACCGCAUAACACUUACGAGUCAAAGCAGCAAUGCGCUUGGAGAGGAGUUCGCGGCCGAUUAGUUAGUUGGCGGGGUAAUGGCCCACCAAGACGAUGAUCGGUAUCCGGCCUGAGAGGGCGCACGGACACACUGGAACUGAAACACGGUCCAGACUCCUACGGGAGGCAGCAGUGGGGAAUUUUGCGCAAUGGGGGAAACCCUGACGCAGCAACGCCGCGUGGAGGAUGAAGCCCCUUGGGGUGUAAACUCCUUUCGAUCGGGAAGAUAAUGACGGUACCGAUAUAAGAGCCCGGCUAACUUCGUGCCAGCAGCCGC
rnacentral:rRNA from 1 species